UACCUGCAGCCUGAGCGACUGGCAUCCCCCUUGAGACUUUCCCCAUUUUGACCCCUCCCUGCCUCCAGCUGGAACGCCCUCAGACGAGACAUUGGCUACGGACCCUCUGGGGCUAGCCAAGCUGACAGGCCCCGGCGACAAGGACCGAAGGAACAAGAGGAAACACGAACUCCUGGAAGAGGCGUGCCGCCAGGGCCUGCCAUUUGCUGCCUGGGAUGGGCCCACCGUGGUCUCCUGGCUGGAGGUACUGGGGCCCGGCAACGUCCCAGCUCUGCACCCCCAGUCCCUCUGACAGCCCCAUCUACAGGGCCAGGCCCCACCAUCACAGCACCA
rnacentral:lncRNA from 1 species